AUGCUUUCUUUUCACUUAUUCUGAUAGGCUGUGAAGGUCAAGAGGGAUCAAUCCACAGGGGCCAGUAAAGUUAGGAGUAAUUUAAUUAGGGUUGUCUAGAUCUGAAAUAUCAUCUAAUCCACUUAUUGCUAGUGGGGAAAUACGUGUAUCUAUAUUUGUCAAAAAUGAUUAUGUACUUUUAUAACCUGCAAGGAAUUAUACCACAAACCCAAUGAGGAAGACAGCCCCAUAGGGGAAAAAAAAAAAAUUAACUGGCAAUAUUUAUCAUCAUGCUUGAUGUUUAUUUUAAAGUGCAGUGGCAUUUUUUUCCCCUUCUAUAUGAAACCACUGCACCAUAACAACCACCAAGGGUCCUUUAAGAAAAGUUCAUGCCUAGUCCCUUGCCACCCAAAGGAAGCCAGCUUGUCACAUUCACAAGGAUGACAUUGCGUGGUCUUGGGCUCCCUCCCAGCAGGUUACAUUUCAAUGUCACGUUACCUGCUGGUGUCACAGAAUCCACUGUGUUGGAGAGAGGCCAGCAAGAUCCAUCUGCUUUCCCAGGGAAGUUCAAGAGAUAGGAUUCCCGCCCCCUCCAUCAUAAGAUGAAUGGAUAAAAAAGAUGUGAUAUAUACAUACACAAAGGAAUACUAGUCAGCCAUAAAAAAGAAUUACAUUGUGCUAUUUACAACAAUAUGGAUGGACCUGGAGGGCAUUAUACUAAGUGAAACAAGUCAGACGAAGACAAAUACUGUAAGAUAUCACUUAUAUGUGGAAUCUCAACAAUAUGACAAACUAGUGACUAUAACAAAAAAGAAGCCGGCUCACAGAUCUAAAGAACAAAUUAGUAGUUGCCAUUUGGGACAGGGAGGGUCAACACAGAGGUAGGGGGUUAAGAGGUACAAAUGAUUUGGUAUAAAAGAAGCCACAAGGAUAUACUGCACAACACAGGGAAUGUAGCCAAUAUUUUAUACUAACUACACAUGGAGUAUAAACUUUAAAGACUGUGGAUCACUAUACUAUAAACCUGUAAGUUACAUAAUAUUGUACCUCAGCUAUACUUCAAUUAAUUGUGUUUGUUUUAAACAAAAAGAGAGACAGACUUUCAAAUGAAAUGUAGUGAUGCAGAGCCCAGGGGCUCCAGAGAAGCUUUCUGGUACCUAGAACCCUCCUUUAUCAUCUCCACAGGACCACACAUGGGCAGCAGCCCCAAAGCACUGUGGGGAGCUGCUGGGGGUCCCACCCGAGGGUCCCACCCAGCAGGUGCUGGGCAAACAUGGUGGACAAAACACUUCUGCUCGGUUUCUCCCUCUGUCUCCCGAAUGUGACUGCCAAUAGGGCACUGGUAACUGGUGGGAUUUCUGUUCCCUCAUAAUUUCUUCCCCUCUAUCUGUCUUUGUAGACACUGAAUCCACAGAGAAGCUGAUAAGAGAAAUUAUAAUUAACAAUUAAUAAAUAAGGCUCCUCAGCAAGGCAAGUCCCUUAAUCCCCAAGGCUUCUAGAUGCAUUUGGUGACUAAUUGCAUAAGCAGUUCUGUCACCUGUGACCUUGCAUUAAGACAGUUCAUUAUAAACAAGGCUCCACAAAGUUAGUCCAUUUGUUCCAGGAAAAUGAAGUUGAUGCAAAAUUCCAAUCCUGCCUAUAAGAGUUUUCAAAGCGCAGAUUCAUACAUGUUGCCUAGAGUUCAGCAUGUUUUCAUAACACUGUUUGUAGACUUCUCCUAUGGUGCUUAGAAAUUGAUGGUGGGUUAAGGAUGCAGCAUUGCCACAAGUUGAGGCAUAGGUAGCAGAGACAGCUCAGGUCUGGUGCUACCGUUGCUAUGGUUGUGACGUAGGCUGGCAGCUGCAGCUCUGAUUCAACCCCUAGCUCAGUAACUUCCAUAUGCUUGUAGGUGCAGCCCUAAAAUGUCAAAGAAAAGCAAAAACAAAAAACAAAAAAACUCAGACUUGACUUAAAGAUCACACAUCAUCCCCAACUUUUCUGAAUUUAGGAUUGGAAAGACCACCAUGAGUCCACAAUAAUGAUGAUGGACAGAAGAAAAAUACUUGUUUCACAUGUUUCCAUAACACUGUUUGCAGACUUCUCCUAUGGUGCUUAGAAAUUGAUGCUUAAAAAAGAUCUCGAGAUGGGGCACCAAACAGACCUGGUUUUGAAUCCCAGGCCUGCUACUUACUAUGUGAGGUUGGCCAAGCCAUUUAACUUCUGAAUGUCCCUAAUGUUCUGGUUAUCUACCGCAGCAAAACAAACCCCCUCAAAAGUUAUAGAUUAAGACAGAUAUUUUUAUUAUGCUUGUGGAACCUGCAGAUCAGAAAUUCAAUCACAUCAUGGAGAGAAUAGCUUAUCUCUGCUUCCCUGGGUCUGAGACCUCAGCUGGGAGGAUGGAAUCUGCUGCAGGAAUCACUGGAAGUCUGACCUUCCAUGGAUCUGGCACCUGAUUUGCUAGCUGUCACUGGGAGCACCUAGGCAUGUCUUGGGCUUCCUCACAGCAUGGCUGUCCCAGGAGGUCUAAGCUCUAACAUGAUGGUUCUGGGCUCAUAGGGAAAUCGUUUCCAGCAACCAAGGCAGAAGGUGCAUGGCUUUUUAAGACUCCUUGGAAGUCACAUAGUGUCACUUAAGCUGUGUUCUACUGGUCAGUGCAGUCACAAGCCUGGGACGAUUCCAAGGGAGAGGAUAUAGGCCCCACCUCUCAAAGGGAGUGUCAAAGACAUUGUGGCCAUGUUUUAAAAUCACCAACACGACAGCCCUAUAGGAAUGCUGGGAGAAUGCAGCAAGACAGUAUAUGUCAGGAAAUUAGCUGGUGCUUAAUAAAUGGAGUUCUAUAUCUUAUUAUGUUUAUUAAGAUACCAAUCGUAGCUGCCCAGCUGUGAGCUCCCACAAGACAAGGUCAGGUGGGACUUCCAUGGGGUUACCUUGUGUUCACACAGCAUCCUGGAAUGUUCUACACACACUUACCUAAACAUUCACAGUCUGCUAUUGGUUUCAGGCCCAAGGUUAUAAAUUAAUUAAGGCACUUUUUGGAGUCUUAGAGGAGGCAACGAUACUUAAACUAUCUAAAGGUAGUUUACUAGAGGAUAUUGUUUAUGCCCGAAGCACUUAAAGAAAGUGCUUUGGAAUUAUCGACAAAUUAUCAUUUGGGUAUUGAUAUUGAUAAAUGUGCCAGAGCAAUGAUUUAAUAUCAUGCGUAUAAACUGCAUAAUUCUUUUCAAAAGCACCGGGAUCCCUCAUGGUCAUGUAUCAAUACUAUUUGUUUAUUGACUUUAGAGUGUUGAGAAUGCAAUUUUCCUUAUGCUUUUUUGUUUUUGUUUUUGUUUUGUUUUUAAUCCACAAUGCCUGAGAUUGUACAAACCAAAAGCAAUGAAAGGAGAGGUUAGACAGGAAAAUUUUGCUGGCCAAAAUGAGUUUGCACAGCUGUGAGCAAUAAAAUACAGCAGCCAUGGCAACCCUCUCCAGUGUCCUGAUAACACAUCUGAAAUGAGGUUAUUAGAAUUAUUAAUUCACAUUAGUGGCUAUUAAAAUUACUACCUGCAGAUUUGCUGCCUGAAAAUCCUUUCUGUGUGUGUCAGAGGAAGGCUUUGUUUCCAAAGGGAUCUGGAUACUUAAACAGAUGCGAUCUAUUGUGUGAGAAGCAUUAGAAGGGGACCAGCAGAUAAUAAAAGCUCGAAGCGAGAUGGGAAAAGCCGCCUUGCAACGCAAGGCAAGCAGAUGUAGGGCUUUGUUCUUCUGAGGAUGGCAAAGGACCAGCCGGGCUCUGAUGGCCAGAGUGAUAACCGGAAGCUCGUGGAUUCCCUGCAAGGUAUUACUUAAAAUCCAACCCCGUGGCGGCUGUUUCAUGCAAUUCUGACUGGCAUAGAAAAUAUUCCACCUUGGUGAGGCAUAAACAAAUCAGAAGAAAUCAGCUGUAAAAGUAAGCCAUUUUUAGGGAGUUGGGGGGGUUCUCGGAGAGCCCGUGGAGACCCCCGUUAACUCAGAAAGCAGAAGCCUGCUGUUUCCAGCGAGAAAGAAACACCAAUGCAGAGCUAUCAUGGUAGGAAUUAAUCUGGGGAAGCAGCUCUACAGCUGAGAAAGAACAUUUUAUUUAUGGAAAUGGGCAGGAAAAUCCACAGGCACGGAGACAGGAGACACACAGGUAGGGGAACAACGUCACCAUGGCGGCGAGACUAGAGCUGCCCCACCUCCCUCUGGCUCAUGUGGGCCACGUGCCUUGUGGAGACAUCCCCCCCCACCCCCAAUCCUCAGGAGCAUCUUCCGUGCCCUGAGCAGGAGGGAAACCCAUUCAGUCCCAGGUAGCACCACCACCACCAACAAAAAGGGAGCCGCGAAGAAGAGGACCUGGGACGUUUGGAAUUCGGAUCACACAGGAAGAGGAUCCCCCUACUUCUGUCUUUUUGAUCCAACUCCACGGAGUUCUCCACCCACUCAGAGGCCAUUGGCUCAGUCAUAAGGGUCACCAGCCAGAUGGAGCAGGCUACCGCCCACUAACAAAAGCAGGGGUUUUUUUUGUUGUUGUUUUUUGUUUUUUUUGUCUUUUGUCUUUUUGUUGUUGUUGUUGCUAUUUCUUGGGCGGCUCCCGCGGCAUAUGGAGGUUCCCAGGCUAGGGGUUGAAUCGGAGCUGUAGCCCCCGGCCUACGCAAGUGCCACAGCAACGCGGGAUCCGAGCCGCGUCUGCAACCUACACCACAGCUCACGGCAACGCCGGAUCGUUAACCCACUGAGCAAGGGCAGGGACCGAACCCGCAACCUCAUGGUUCCUAGUCGGAUUCGUUAACCACUGCGCCACGACGGGAACUCCAAAAGCAGGGGUUUUUAUCACUUCUGCAUAAAGCACCAGGGUAAACUGAAGGGUUCUGUCUCACCGGCUUCUGAGUCUAGGAAAGCAGGUGAGGGAGCUGGGACCCCCUAGGUGGGACGUUGACUUUGGAAGCAAAGCUCCAACUGCCACAUUCUCCAACCAGAACUUCAUGAAGCACAGGACCCACAGAGGCCUUGGGGUUGCUUCCAAAUUCUCAGAGCUGCCCGAGUCAGGCACAGCUCAGAAGUUAGAAAUCCUGAAAUUGCUGGGACAUUCUUAUGGUUUCCAGGAUGACUUGAUGAUAGGCUUGAAAUUGAGUCUGGCCUAGAAAACCAGAAGGUAUAUUUGCUCAGAGGUCACCCGCAGAGACCUUCCUGAAGAGGGUUUUGUCAUGGAGACUGGCCUCAAACCAGAACCUUAACUUCUCCCCAAACAGAGUUCCCAUGAGAUUGUCUAGUAGCUGAGAUCAGAGCUUAUCUCUCUGUAAACAAAAAUGCCCCACUGCUUAUGGAACAACAUGAAAAAAGAUUUUUUCAAGGAUUAACUGCUUACCUUUUGGGGCAUUAAGAUGGCUUAAUCCUUCAUUUGGCUUGAUUUUCAAAGUUAGCUGGCUUUCUUAAUGAUAAAACAAUUUUUUUUCCUGAUUACAAAGGAAUUCAAAUUUAAAAUAAUGUAGAAGCACGGAAGUAGAAAAUGAAUACUAUUCAAGAAGUCACUACCUACAAGCAACCACCUUCUACUCUUUCUCUCUAUGUGUGUGUGUGUUG
rnacentral:lncRNA from 1 species